rfam:Capsicum annuum cultivar Zunla-1 chromosome 11, whole genome shotgun sequence
ACCUCAUGAUUUGGGCAUUGGGCUAACUUUCCAUUAAACCUCUCCCAAGCUUCAAAUAACGGUUCUCCAUUCAUUUGUCGGAAGUUCACAAUCUCAUCCCCCUUUUGAAGCA